GUGAAACAAACGAAAGUAAGACAGUGUUAUACAGCCUGCGCCACAAUAUUGCUUUCAUUACCCGAUGGUGCAGUCCAGCAUCACACAUGAAAACAUAAACAACAAGUUGGAAGAAAGAUGGGAGAUGAAGAAGAUUCUAACCCCAGGAAAAGAUGCCGAGAUGAGAACACAAAGGCAGAAGAGGAUGAACAAACAGCUACUAAGAAGCCCUGUGUGACCACUUCAGAAGGUCUGACAGACGAUGCAGCGGAACAACAUAAAAUCAGUAACAUGGACAAACUGGGUGAACUACAACACACUAGGAAGGAAGAAGAAAGUAUCAUUGAAGAAGA